rnacentral:tRNA from 1 species
GAAAAAGUAGUUUAAAAAAAAUAAUGUUUUUGUAAAGCAUAGAGUGAAUAUUUGUUCUUUUUUCA